GCCACGGGCUGCCGUCUGAGGGGACAGCUGGGCGAUUCCGAGCCGGUUGCCAACGGCGCGCUCUGCCCCUCAGCCAAUUGGAGCCGGCGGCGCUUCUGCUGACCAAUCAGAGACAAGGGGAGGGCCGGAAAUGCCAUUGACCAAUGAGAGGCCAGCAGGGGCGGGUCAGAGCUGCUGCUGACCAAUCAGAGCCAGCAGGGGCGGGAUGGAGCUGACAAUCACCAAUGAGAGUCCACCGGGGGUGGGUCAGAGCUGCUGCUGACCAAUCAGAGGCUGGCAUGGGUCAGAGCUGCCGCUGACCAAUGACAGGCUGGACGGGAGUGGGACGGAGCUGCUGUUGACCAAUGAGAAUCAACGGGGGGAGGGAUGGAGCUGCAUCUGACCAAUGAGAGUCCAGAGGGGUGGGACAGAGCUACAUCUGACCAAUGAGAGGCCACCGGGGGCGGGCUGGAGCUGCCGCUGACCAAUCAGAGGCCACUGGGUGCGGGAUGGAGAUGCUGGUAACCAAUGAGAGGCCAGAGAGGGUCCAGAGCUACCUCUGACCAAUGAGAGGCUGGACGGGGGACAAAGCUGUCGCUGAGCAAUGUGAAACUACUGGGGGUGGGCCGAAGUAGUCGAUGACCAAUCAAAGGCAACCAGGGGUGGGAUAGAGCCGCAUCUGACCAAUGAGAAACCAACGGAGGCGGGAUGGAGCUGCCGCUGACCAAUGAGAAGCAAGCGGGAGUGGGACGGAGCUCACGCUGACCAAUAAGAGGCCGGCACGGCCCAUCGCUGAGAUGGGAGCAGAGUGGAGACCUUGCAAAGCAGGGCUGCAAGGCUGCAAUACGUGGUGGUGGGACAGCCUUGGGCUUCUGCGUUUGCAUUAAUCCCACGUUUCCCAUCUCUGCCUUGCAGCUCUGCUGGUGCUGGAAGUGGACGGUAUUGCAGUAUGAAUGAAGGAGCAGCUGCUGAUGGGAGGCAGGAAGUCCAGGCUCAUGAACGCUGAGGCAUCUGCCAGUACGGCACCAGAGGAGGCAGUAGUGACGUUGGGGGGCAGUCGCAGAAGAAGAUGAGGAGUUCCCCAGCAGGAAGCCACA
rnacentral:lncRNA from 1 species